rnacentral:lncRNA from 1 species
CCGGGAAUGACAAAGAGGAAAGUCAUGAUAACAGCUCUGGAACAAAGAGGAGAAAGCGGACUGGGGAGGAGAACACACGGAAUAUCAGCUAUACCUGUACUUUUGUUUCUUUCAAAAAAGUGUAAUCUCAGUAUUUGACUAAGCUAGCAUAUACAUAUUUGCAAAAUUACCUGCACUUCUUAGCACAUUUGAGAUGUCUCCGAAUAUAAAGAAAAAGAUGAAGUGACGUUUUCUGUUGUCAGGCUGGAGGAAUUUGCGAUGAGAAUGAGAACCUGCUGUCUAGCGGAAGCCAGAGCUGGAGGAGCUGUGCCUUCGCCCCACCAGCCAGUCCCCUCCUCCCACGCCGCGGGACCUGUCAGCGCUGUCUCCAUCCGCCCCACACGGAGGCCUGGGAAGGUGCUGGUGGGCAGGAGAUGUUACCAGAUGCACCCUUUGUCCCCGUCCCUGCUGUCUGGGCCAGAGGAGCACAGACAAGGCGCCUCCGUCUAUUGCUUUGGAAUGUUGCACAGCAAACAAUUAUACCUGGUGGGACUCUUUACAGGAGCGUGCCUAUUAACGAUGGCCGCUGUGCCCGGAUUGUAAGACGCUGUCGCGCCCUCAGAUAUGGAAUCGUGCAGUGGACGCAUACAGGCUGGGGAAGGCUGUGUGGUGCAGUGGGAGCCACAGCAAGGCACCUGACUCGAUUGUCAGGGAAGUGAGGGCUCAGAGGUGGCUUCCUGGAAGAAGAGAUUCCUAAACCCAGUCCUGAAGAUCAAGUGAAGGUGGGCCAAGGGAAAGCGAGCAGGAGCAUGUGCAAAGGCCAGGAGCCAAGAGAGAGCCUGACUUGUGGGAAGAGCAGAGAGUGGUUCACUGGGGCUGGAGGUUAGUGUUUGGUUGCGGGAUGGAUGGUGAGAGAGGAGGUAGUCAGGAGCUGAAUCAAAAGGGCCUUAAAACUACGCUAAAGUCUGCACUUUAUCUUGUGGGAAAUGCACAGCCAUUGAUUUUAAACUAGGGCACGGCCUGUUUAGGUUUUCUUUUAAAAAUGAUAAUUUGAACCCAAAUGUAGAAAAUAAAUUGGAGAGGAGUGUGGGCA